GACGAAGGUGGCGAGCGUUGUUCGGAAUCACUGGGCUUAAAGCGCACGUAGGCGGCUGAUCAAGUGUCUUGUGAAAUCCCUCGGCUCAACCGAGGAAUGGCUGGGCAAACUGAUCGGCUUGAGGUAGGUAGGGGCGAGUGGAACUCUUGGUGGAGCGGUGGAAUGCGUAGAUAUCAAGAGGAACGCCGGUGGCGAAGGCGACUCGCUGGGCCUGUCCUGACGCUGAGGUGCGAAAGCCAGGGGAGCAAACGGG
rnacentral:rRNA from 1 species